rnacentral:rRNA from 1 species
UACGUAGGGUGCGAGCGCUAAUCGGAAUUACUGGGCGUAAAGCGUGCGCAGGCGGUUAUUUAAGUCAGGUGUGAAAGCCCUGGGCUUAACCUAGGAAUUGCGCUUGAGACUGGAUAGCUUGGAGUGCGGCAGAGGGAGGUGGAAUUCCUGGUGUAGCAGUGAAAUGCGUAGAUAUCAGGAGGAACACCGAUGGCGAAGGCAGGUCUCUGGGCUGACACUGACGCUCAUGCACGAAAGCGUGGGGAGCAAACAGG